AUUAGCGUUUUUCACGCACGGAGAUUUUCGUGAGAUGUUCUCACUUCAAACAUUACUUUUGGGAGACAUCUUGUAUUGUACUUUUUAAAGUUAGGAGUUUUAGCAUUAUGAUAUUUGAUUAACAGUACACUGACAACACGGUUAUGGGGUGAGAUAGGAGACGUUUCGAGAUAUUUAUAGGACAUUUGGUUCCACAUACCUUAUGUUCAGUUAUAUUAUAGAACGACACAGUUGUGAUACUCGUGGAAUACACAUAUGAUGAAAAGA